rnacentral:rRNA from 1 species
GAUUUGAAGAGUUUGAUCAUGGCUCAGGAUGAACGCUGGCGGCGUGGAUAAGGCAUGCAAGUCGAACGGAUUAGUCCACUGAAGUGAAAAUCGAGAUGAGAUUACAUCAAGUCAAAAUAAUUAUGGAUGUGGGUCACUAAUUAGUGGCAGACGAGGUAGUAAUACAUAGGAACUUCCCCUGAAGUCGUGAAUAAUUCGUCGAAAGACGGACUAAUACACGAUGGUCUCGCAAGAGUAAAGUUUUAACGCUUCAGGAAAGGCCUAUGCGAUAUCAGCUAGUUGGUAGGGUAAUGGCCUACCAAGGCUUUGACGUCUAGGGGAGCUGAGAGGCUGACCCCCACCGAUGGUACUGAGACACGGACCAUACACCUACGGGUGGCCGCAGUCGAGAAUCUUCCGCAAUGGACGAAAGUCUGACGGAGCGACGCCGCGUGAUCGAUGAAGUCCCUCUGGGACGUAAAGAUCUUUUAUUAGGGAGGAAGUUUAUUGACGUUACCUAAUGAAUAAGUAGCUUCUAAUCUCGUGCCAGCAGAAGCGGUAAUACGAGAGCUACGAGCGUUAUCCGGAAUUAUUGGGCGUAAAGGGUGCGUAGGUUGUUCUGUUAGUCUUUUGUUAAAACCCGGGGCUUAACCCCGGAUCUGCAAAAGAAGACGGCAGAACUAGAAAGUGCGAGAGGCGUACGGAAUUCUAGGUGUAGGAGUGAAAUCCGUUGAUAUCUAGGAGAACACCAAAAGCGAAGGCAGUACGCUGGCGCAUAUUUGACACUCAAGCACGAAAGCGUGGGUAGCGAAUGGGAUUAGAUACCCCAGUAGUCCACGCCCUAAACGAUCUUCUCUCGGUUUUCGGAGUAUCGACCCUCUGAGAGCCUUAGCUAACGCGUUAAGAGAAGCGCCUGGGAAGUACGGCCGCAAGGCUAAAACUCAAAGGAAUAGGCGGGGACUUGCACAAGCAGUGGAUUAUGUGGUUCAAUUCGAUGGUAAACGAAGAACCUUACCAGGGUUAGAAAUCCUGUUGAAAGCUCUAAGAAACUAGAGCCCUCGCAAGACAGCAGGACAGGUGAUGCAUGGCCGUCGUCAGUUCGUGGUUUGAAUUGUACCCUUAAGUGGGCUAACGAACGCAACCCUUGUUGUCUGUUACAAGUGUCAGACGAGACUGCCCCCACCAAAGCGCAUGAGACGAUAAAAUUUUUCUAAAUUUUUUUUCGAUUCGUGAAUUUCGGUGGGGGAGGAAGGAGAGGAUGACGCCAGGUCAGCAUGUCCCUCUGAUACCCUGGGCUACACACAUAAUACAAUCGCCAUUACAGCGCGCAGCGACGAGGUGACUCUGAGCUAAUCGUCAAAAAUGGCGCCAGUUCGGAUUGAAGUCUGCAACUCGACUUCAUGAAGCCGGAAUUGCUAGUAAUCGCGGGUCAGCUAUACCGCGGUGAAUACGUUCUCAAGUCUUGUACUCACCGCCCGUCAAGUCAAGGGAGCCGGGAGUACCCGAAAUCUCUACAUAGUAGGGCCUAAGGUAAGCUCGGUGACAGGGACUAAGUCGUAACAAGGUAACCAAUC